UGGAAUGCAACCGGGUGUUCAAUGUGUCGCCCGGCGCGGCAGCUUCGGCACUCUGACAGGUGUCAAGCUGCGGUACCGUGUGACGCAUUGAUCUGAGAAAUACCGGCGAACUUGAUCUGGAUAAUACCAGCGAAAGGAUCUGCAUCUGAUAUGCCC
rnacentral:ncRNA from 1 species